rnacentral:tRNA from 1 species
AUUUAUAUAGUAUAAAAUAUUACAAUUAAUUUCCAAUUAAAAAAUUUAAAUAACUUUUAAUAUAAAUA